AACAAGGCCUCAGAUAGGAACAUGCAUGCCACACAAAGCUGCUGACCACGAACUCACCGGAGAGUGGGCAAUGGCGGGCUGCCCUAGCUCGCUCGUUGGCUCAAACAAGACAAGCUCUGUAUUUUUUCAAAAAAAAAAAAAGAGGAGAUCGAGGAGGUUGUGUUGUGUCCAAAAUGCUCUCAUGAAUACAGUCUGUGCGAGG
rnacentral:lncRNA from 1 species